CUGAAGAGGGGGCGUCGGAGGCAGGGGGGGGAAGAUGAGAAGACCGCCACCUUGUGCGUGGCCAGCACCCUGGGGUUUGCUCUGACCUUUACUGUACCAGCCAGAAAGGAGGCAGGAGAGGAGGCGGGGGAGGAGGAACCCUUGGCUGGAGAUGCGUGAGUGUGGGCUGAGGUGUGCAGGGCAGAGUGCUGGGGUGGACAGCCAGGUCAGACAGCUGAGGAGGAGGCAGUGGACAACCCCUGGCUCUUUGGCUCCAGGCACCUCUAGGGAGGGAGAGUAGAUGCCUGCGGCUGCUGUUACCCAGGGUGUUCCCCUCAACCUGGGGGCCCUGCCUGGCUCCAGCCUCCCACUGCUGGUCCAGCCGCUCCACACGGACUACUGUAGGCUAGGGGAACACAGCAGGGGCAGGGCACUCAUUGUCAUAGGGAAAAAGCUGGUCAGCGAGAGGAGCAUUUUCUCAAACCCUUCCCUCUUCACCCGAGGCAGUCAAGGAGGAGCCAUUGCAAGUCAGCUAAGUGAGUUGUCUUCGUACCAGUCUUCCUGUGGAGGAGUAACCCCUGAGAGAUGCCUCACCUGCUGGUCUGAGACUCAGAGCUGUGCUACAGGCCUCUCUACUGGACAGAGCUCCCUCUACUCAUGGAGAUACGAUGAGUUUGACAGAGUGAACACCCAGCGUGUGCGUCAGCUAUUCAGUGAUGUGGACGAGCUGCUGUAUGAAGGGAGGGUGAACAGCAGCUCCCUGGGACUGCAGGAGGAGUGUCAGGAGUGGAACGGACACUCCCCACACCUCAGAAUUCUGGGUAAUCAGCUGGAGUCGCCCAAUCAGGAAGGGUUUCAGUACGUUCACAGGAGAGUGGUGGCCAGUGGAGGGAGAGGGAGUGCAGUGCUGCCCCCGUGUGUGGACAAGAGGGAGGACUCUGGAGAGUUAUGUGUUGAAGGUCACAGUCUUUCCCCAACUCCCUGCACAUUGCAGGGGGCAACCCCUCUCUCCCACUCUCUCCGUGAUCACUCCUCCCUUCUACAAGAAGAGAUCUACGAGGCAGAGGGAAGGAUGGAGGAAUUUCUUGCCUAUGAUGCCAAAGACACGGAGGAUGAGUGGGUAGGUCAGAGAGGAGUCUGGGGAUCUGUGGGGGCAGCAGGGAGGUCCGGAGUACCCCCUGUGUCUCCCCACACCUGUAUCAGGGAUGCCGUGGCUGACGAGGCCUUUGAUGACAUGUGGAGGGAGGUGGUGAACUCUCUGGGGGAGCUCCUCCACAAACACUGGCAGAGACAAAUCACUGGUGGAGCAGGUCACAGAGGAGUGUUGGAGGCUCUUGGUGGAGUCUUGGGUGAUCCCUCUCCUCACAUCAACAGUAAAUGUCAGCGUGUCCCUCUCUCCAGGGGCUCCAACACACGUAGCAUGCUGCUGUGGUCCAACUGUUGCCCCAGUUCACAGGCCUCUCAGGUAUCAAGUACCUUCAAGAUUAAUUUAAACGGUGUUAUGACAAUCCAAGCUAAGCCUCUUCAACAAAGACAACACGGAUUUGCAGAGAAGUCUCAUUGUGAUCUGGAGGACAGACCCAGCAGAGCUCCAGCCCCCACUGUGUCUCCAUCCAGGAGAGCAUGUAGUACGCCCUCCCACAGAGCCACAGGCCCAGCCCAGAGAGGCCUGCCCCUGCCCAGGCUCCAUAUCUGCUCCAGACCCAGCUCCACCUCCAGAAGUACCAGCUCCAGGGGCAGGGCCAGGAGCUGCCUCAGCCCCAGACACACUGUCCCCAGACACCAGGUCAUCAGAGGAACCAGACUGACCACAGUGACAGAAGGACAGCCGUCCCCAAUCCUCAGUUCAAUACAGAACCAGAGGCUCCUCCCCCUCCUGCAUGCUGACCAAUCAGAGCUGGAGCCCUCAGUGUGUACUGCUGCACCCAUGCAGGUACCAGCUCAGGGGGAGGAUUCUGCAAGGAGGACAUGCCACUGUACCAAUCUCCAUCCUUCCACCCCUCAGAGAGCCCACUCUGCUGUUGGAGUCCCUGUCUCGUCCCAACACCACACACACACUCCGGUCAGACACACCCAUGAAGCGAUUGUUCACUCCCAUGGAUUUCACCUGCCACAUGAAGACUGGGAAAGGACCUCAGCCAGGUGACUGUGCUCUGAUUGGAGUGACAGGCUUUGGCGUGGGUAUCACCUGCUCGCGGCUUCUCCGAGAGCACCAUGGCAACGAGGAGACACCAGCGCCCGCCAUCCUCCUCCGUGGAAGGAGAGAGUGGGACCGAACCACUGCUCUUAGGUGUUCCUCAUCAACGUAAAGUGUUUGGUCGGUUUCCUGGUCAUGUGAAGAAGAGACUCCAGGUGGUGUUGUCAUAGCAGCACAGUCCAGACAGGAAGACCAGAAUGCAUCACGAACACCAACACUUGGAAUUAAGAGGUUAAUGAGUGUGACUAGAUGAAGCACAGCUACGGUGAGAUUUACCAUUGAACUACCACAAAAGUUUGGACUUACGUUUUGAGGCCAGAUGAUGAGUCGGAGUUGAAGAUCAAUUUUCAUUGCUAUGGCGAUAGCUAGCUAGCCUCCCUGACAGUGGCUAUCUAGAGGUAGGACCGCAAUGUGCAGAUAACGGGUGGACAAUAAGGACAAGAUUUUAAUUUGAAAAGACCACAUUUAGGUUGCAACGGCAUUUAGCAGGACAAAUCUGCUUGAUUAUAUUGUAUAUCUGCCAUUUUAAUUAGAUACAUUGUAGUUUAUUUAUGUGGCAAGAGUGAUUACAGGAUAGGAUAAAUGUGAUUAAACACAUUGACCACUACUGUUUGUUUACCUAGAUGGUGAUUUUGCAAGCUAGCUAGCAUUGUGAAGCAGUGUCUAUGCAUACAAGCAACCGUACGCUGAUAUUUCAUCCAAAAUAAACAAUCGGCAGUGAAAUAUUGAUUGUUACUUUGUGAAAAUCUAAGUGAUAUCAAAUACAGUACAAUAUGGGGCCUGCCGAGUGGCGCAGCAGUCUCAGGCACUGCAUAGCAGUGCUUGAGGUGUCACUACAGACCCAGGUUAAAUCCCAUGCUGUGUCGCUGCCGGCCACGACUGGGAGACACAUGAGGGCACACAAUUGCCCUAGCGUCGUCCGGGUUAGGGGUUUGGCCAGCCGGGUUGACCUUGUCCCAUUACGCUCUAGCGACUCCUUGUGGCAGGCCGGGCACCUGCAAGCUGACUUCGGUCACCAGCUGGACGGUGUUUCCUCCGACACAUUGGUGCGGCUGGCUUCCGGGUUAAGCAAGCAGUGGGUCAAGAAGCAGUGCGGCUUGGCAGGGUCGUGUUUCGGAGGACGUAUGGCUCUCGACCUUUGCCUCUCCCGAGUCUCUACGGGAGUUGCAGCGAUGGGACAAGACUACCAUGAAAAAGGGGUAAAAAAAAAAGUAAUUCAAAUGAAAAUAAAAAGGCAGAAACUGCUUCUCCAAUAGAAAUCCCUGAUCACAGUUGUAGGCGAUGUCAUGGUGACGUUGGCUAGCUAAGCUCUGCAGAAACACGUCAUCAGCUUUAACGGUCGUCACGUGCCGAACUGCGCAUGUGCAUGCCAUCAAAUCAAAGGGACUCCUUCAAUAUCAAAGUAUUUUUGACUAAAAUGAAAAUGUGUCACUUUCACGUGGUUGGAGUAAUAACAUGUUCAACUACUUAAGACAUUGUCUCAAAUAUAAGUUGUGCCUUUAGAUUUCGAGAAAACGAAGGAAUAAUUUUUCACUUCUCUCAUGGACCCCAAACCCUGGCCUGGUCUGCUUGGUCUAGUUCGCAAGCAUUUCCGGAAGUCUCGCGAUGUUGCGCAUGUGGUGAUAUCCAACUCAGACUCAUCAUCUGGCUUCAAAACGUAAAUCCUAACUCUUGCGGUAGUUCAAUGGUAAAUCUCAUCCGUAGCUGUAUUCUACGUAGUCAUAACCGGAAUUUAUGGAAACAACAGGAAGAAAGGUCCAAUUAGAUUUUCAUUUGGCUAAAUUAUUCUCGAUGCAAUGCAUAACAUUUAUCCAGAUUAUUAGCUGCUUCUUAACACAACAGGUCAUUACUACAUCUAAAUUCAAUGUGGCUAAAUACAUUUGCUAAAUGAGCCAUGUUAGGAGGAAAAACAUGAACUUGGUCCAACUUGUAUGUUUUCUACAGAAAUGUCAGUGUCUUGAAUACCCUAGGUUUUUCAAGGAAUGAUCAUUCAUUCAAAUAUUAUUUUGAAAUUGUAACAAUAUAAUUUUGUUAUGCAAUAAAUGGCUAUUUCUGUUACAUG